UUUUUCAUCAACACAGCAUGCACCCCACCCAUAACUUUUGACCCACAUCAGGUACGAACGUAUGCACAUGCAUAUAUACAUACAUAUGUGUACUAUAUAUAUAUAUAUAUAUAUAUAUAUAUAUACUUCAUCUGAUAAUUUUGAAUUUUAUCUUAAAAUUGAUAUAAUUUUAUUUGUAAGUUUUAGAAAUAACUAGUAUAAUAGAAUAUUGAAUUCGAUUCUUUGUAGUUAGUUUAUACUCAAUUGUUAUGGUUGUUUGUAUUAAUCAAUAUAAUAUUCGAUUGAUCGGUACUAGGUUAUCGACAAAAUUAAAUAUUUUAAUUUGAUUUUAAAUAUAGAAUUUUGUGCUGACUCCGUUGUAUCUCUAAUUUUGGAGAUGAGAUAUCUGUUUUUGGAUCGGUGUUCUGUUGGAAUAUGAACAUGAAAAAGAAAAUGACUAGUCGUAUUAAUGCAGUACUAUAUGAAAUAGGCUAAUGUUUAAUUAUGGGGACUAAGAUUUGGGAAAACGACUAUAUAUUAUAUUAAUACAUUCAAUUCACAUGCAUCUCAUAUCAGAUAGAUUUAAGAGUAUAGAUGUGUUAAUAAAUAUGAUGAAGCAGAGGUGAUCGAACAUGUUAGUUGAGCGAAUCUAAAUAGGUGUGCGCUGCAUUGGUAAUGAAUAGAUGUGGGAUGGAGUGUAGAAUUUCACUACACAUACCUAUGUUGCAUUCUCACAUAGAUAUUUUACUCCCUUGGUUUGACAAAAGAGUACGGUUUGAUUUUUUACCUAGCUAAUUUUAAAUUUUAAAAUUGGUGUGAAUUUAUUUGAUUUUGAUUAAUGCAAUAGUUACUAUAGAAAACUACAUAAAAAAAUAUUUUUAAGUUCAAAAUUAUUAUUUCAAAAGUUAUAAUAAACUUGUACCACAAUUUAAAUUUUAAAAGUUCACAUAUAAAGUAGGAUCAAAGCUAAAUGAGACUCUUUUUAUGGUAAGGACAGGGUAUAAUUUUAUACAUAUAUAGGUGCUUCAAAGUGUGUUUAAUGUGCGAUGUCAUCAAGUAGUUCUACAAAUUUUGACAAUUCUCAGUACUAGUCUAACCCUUAAUGUGAAUGAAGAGGACAUCGAUAGGGCUGAAAAUGAACUCGAAUGGUUCGAAAUCCAAUUUGAGAGCAACUCGAAAAAUUCGAGUGAGACUCAGAUUCGAUAAUUAAACGAGUCAAAUUCGAAACACUUUUGAUACUCGAACACUUGUAUGAGUAUGAGUUGAAAAUGAGUACCAUGUAUUGUUCGCUCAUUUAGGAUAUCGAAUUUUCCUUAUCUCAUUGAACCCUACUCGAUACAAGUUUGUUAAUCCUUUACUCAUAUAUAAUAUCGAUUAUACUCGAUUUAUUUAAUAUAUAGUAUUCAACAAUUAAAUACUUCGCAUACUCUUGAGAAGUGGAAGGGGGUUUUAUAUUUCUCGUACAUGUCCAUUAGUUGAUUCAAGAGUAAUUAUAUCGUCUCAUUAAUAUUUUACAAGACUCGAGAUCUAGCUUGAAGAGAUCUAAUUUAAACUAUUUCAAAUAAUUGACUGAGUUAGUUUUAUCUAUAUACAUUAUCACAAUAUAAUUGAUUCAGUCCGGAUUCGUGUAUGUCUCAAAUGCUCGCGAGUAGCUCGACUGAAAAACGAGUCGAGUCAAGUCAAAUUCGAGUACAAUAAAACGAGUCAAUUUCAAAUAUACUCCAAAUUGUAUUAAAAUCCGAGUACGAAUCCGAGUAUCUUUAAAAAGUUGAGUAGAAUCUGAACAAGAUACUCCAUCCCUAGACACCGGCUUGAAAUAAGUGUAGCUAAAAAUAAACAUCCCCUUGUUGCUGCCACUUAGAGUAGGAAAUAGUUUCAUUUAAAUGGUUUCUGGUAGUUUGCUUCAAACUACCCAAAAAAAUUCUGUAGAAAAAUGCAUAGAACAUAAGAUUUGCCGUACCUACUGUACAAGGCUCUCACAAAUAGCAAAAUUAUCAUCUAGCCAACCUUACCAAGAGUGUUUUUUAAAGAUUGUCGUUUUAGAAAUUUAUCUCUAAUCUUGGAAAAUAGGGAGGGAGUAUGUGUCUGCUUUUCAACCUCUUGUACACUUGUAUAUAACUUUUUCUGUAUCCACUUGUAUAUAUGUUCAUCUGGUCUAGGAUAGUUGUAUAAUUUCUCCAUGGAUUUUGGUAGUUGCAUGACCUCAUAUGAUUUUAUCUGCGGUUUUUGCAGGUCAGAAUGCCUAGUAGAGGCCGGACACCUACUCAAAGUUACUUCCCUUAUCAUAGAAAUCGUUUAUCUAGUAGAAGCUCAUCUGAACGAAAUUGGAGUAGGAGGCGAAGUAGAUCAAACUCUCAUCAUCACCCGCAGGAGGCGAAGUAGAUCAAACUCUCAUCAUCACCGCAGGAGGAAAAGAUCAAACUCUCAUCACCGCAGGAUGAGACGGUCAUCUAGUAGCUCAUAUUCUAGUUACUCAGAUUCUAGUAGCUCAGAUAUAGUAAGGGAGCAACCCAUACUAUACCC
rnacentral:lncRNA from 1 species